CAGAAGGGGAGACAUUUGGUCGCAUAUUAAGUUGGUGACACUAAUCUUGGGUGCCCACCUUGAAACUGGGAGUUGUACAGACCUGUGUGUGUGUGUGUGUGUGUGUGGGGGGGGGGGAGAAUAAAAAAGAGAAGGAAACAUUGAGAUCUCACAAGUCAGCGACAGUGGGUAUUACAGGUAUUUGACUCACUGACAACUUACUGUAUCACUAUUAUGGCAGGUCAACUACACUGUAACGUCAUAAUGUUCUG